GCUGUUCAGUGAUGAGGGCCUGAAUGUGGCGCUGGGCACAGCGCCCGAGACAGACUCCUCCAUGAACCGUUCCUUGUUGCCUUCUUCUGAGAACAGC